CCACAAAAUUUUACGUGUUGUGCGGAGUUUGUGUAAAUAGGUCUGGCUUCUUUUUCAAACGAAAUCUGAAAACAUUCCAAAGUAGUAGGCUGUGUAAAACAAUAUUUUGUAAAGCAGUAGGCGCUGUAAAACACAUAUAUACGAGUACGUCACCUAGUAAAAAUUUCAGUCUGCCCCCGGAGCUCCAGCUGAACGGAGCAAAAAAAUUAUUUAGUGAAAAAAAAUUUAAAAGUAGAAAAGUUAUACGUUUUAUUAAAGCAAAAAUUCCAGUAAAGUAGUUUCUUUCGGAAGGUGAACAAGUGAUACAAUUUUGUGACGCAAUUAUCCGUUGACGAAGAAACCACUGGUUAGAUCGAAAUACAUUUUGGAAUCUAUUCUCCACUCGAAAUCCGAGCUGCAGCUAAAAAAAAAAAAAAAAAAAGUUUUGGUGCAUUGCAAAUAUAUCAACACAACACAAUGAGUGAGAUACAGCCACGGAUAACAUUUCAAAAGCUAAACAUACAAACACGACAACACAAUACUAGUACAUACAUUCAGCAAAGAAAAGGAAAUGCUUUUCCAAAUCAUUUUAAAUGGAAAGCAAUCAACUGCUUUAGUCCAAUUUAAUGAUACAUAUGACAAAUAAAACAGAAUUUAAAAUAAUCAUGACAAUGCCAUCCGCUGUAAAACAUACCUACCGGUGCCUAUUUAAUUUCUAAGUGUAUGAUGGCAAAUGAAAAGAAGACACAACAUAUACAUAUUUUUACUUCAAAUUAAAGAAUAGCCACUACGAGCAAAUGCAAGUUGCGAAAAGAAACUACAAACCUUUAUACUGAGCAGAACAAGAACAACACAUCUACAAAAAUAGAAUACCAUCAUGACAAAUGGCAUAACGAACUGAUGCAUUAAUUAAUGGUAAAAAUAACAUAGAAACAGAAUUAAUUGUACAGAAAUACCGAAUUAAAGUACGGGUUAUUGGGCAGAUGAUCAAACGGUGUUAUAAUUAAUUUAUAUAUAAAUCUAAGAACACGCAGAAAUCACAAGAGCAAGAACAAGGACUAUAAAAACUAUAUUUUUAUUAACUGCGACAUUUAACCCCAUUUUCAGAUCACACAGCAAUGAAAUAUAGUAUACGUAUAAUACACAAGUCUAAAAACAAAGAUCAACACCUUUAAUAAGCACACUCUAUACAAGGAAAUCAAUUUGAUAAAUCGGUUAAUGGGCCGCUGCCAAAACAACACUAUAAAUUUAAGAACCAUCAAUCAAUAUAAUGCUCAGGUAACCAGUUCGAUAUCAUCGGAAGCGUCUUAAUGACCAAAGCAUCAUAUAGAUAUAUAUCACUAUUUAAUAAAUACACACUAAUGUUGGCGAACAUUUUAAAUAUAGCCGACAAUCUAUAUUAUUUGCGAUGCAAUGAAAAAGCUACCCAAAAAUACAAAAUGCACAGCAACAUUAUUAAAUUUUUAAUACGAAGACAAUUCGCUGUUCUCUAUAAGUAGGAGGCAUAACCCUAAGUGAAUUAUAUAUAUACACUCUAUAUGCACAGCGUCAACCGAGCAUAUCUGGUCUCAGACUGGAAAGGUGGCUAUGUUUUCAGCGUGGCAUUGUGGGAAAGAUUUCAACGAUGGUACCUCGCUGUGUUGCGGAAUAUAAUGAGCCUAUUUUUGGCGUGCUGGAUCGCGUUGCUGAAAUCUCAUUUCCUUAAUUUAACUAUGUACACACAAUAUAUUUACAUACAUACGAAUCGUAAAUGCAUGGAAAUCAACUAACUUCAAUAAAUAUACACAUGAAA